rnacentral:rRNA from 1 species
GUCUACAGCCAUACCACCCUGAAUGCACCUGAUCCCGUCUGAUCUUGGAUGCUAAGCAGGGUCGGUCCCGGUUAGUACUUGGAUGGGAGACCACCUGGGAAUACUGGGUACUGUAGGCU